GCUGGGCGAGGAGCAGAAGCAGGUCAGCGGGAAAAAUGGGGUGAAAACGGGAAAAAACGGUGAAAAAAUGGCUAAAAAUGGGAAAAAACGGGGUUAAAAUGGGGAAAAAAUGAGAGAAAACAGCAUAAAAAUGGGAGAAAACAAUGGCCAAGAUCGUGGCCUCCAUGUGGGACUCGCUGGGCGAGGAGCAGAAGCAGGUCAGCGGGGAUUUUGGGGUGAAAACAGGGAAAAACGGUGAAAAAAAUGGUGAAAAAUGGCUAAAAAUGGGGAAAAAGGGGUUAAAAAUGGGGCAAAAUGGAAGUAAAGAAUGGCCAGGAUCGUGGCCUCCAUGUGGGACUCGCUGGGCAAGGAGCAGAAGCCAGUCAGAGGGGAGAAAUGGGGGAAAAAAGAGCAAAAAUGGGAAAAAACGGGGAAAAAAUGGGGAAAAAAGGGAUAAAAACGGGGUUAAAAUGGCAAA
rnacentral:lncRNA from 1 species